UAAGCGAUAGCUAAGAAGUCAAGAGCAGCUUCGCUCUCUUUUCCCCCAUUGCCUUUCAAGCCCACUCCGUUUGUUAUUCUGACACUGUGUCCCAGCUCAGCGUCCAGCCACGGGUAGGACAGGGACAAAGCCCAGAGAACUGCCCCGCUCUCUUCGAAGCUAAAUCCCCUUCGGGGUCAGUGAGCUGCAGGCCUGCGAUUUGCUGGCCUCUCGUUUACUCCCGCUCUUAAAGCUCUGGAUUCCGCCCCCCCACCUCCCGACCCCUCUCUUGUCUCCCUCAGACCCCUUCGUCCCCUCCCCUUUCCUCUCUUUCCAUCCCCUCCCCCUAUGUCUCUGACUUACAGGGUCUGAA
rnacentral:lncRNA from 1 species